rnacentral:SRP_RNA from 1 species
CAGGAUAGGUUGGGCGGCUAGGGGCCGCCUGUUAGCGCAAACCCCCUUCAGGCGCAACUAAAAUGCCUUGGGCGUAUGAGGUGUUUAUUCAGUGCGUGAGACAGCCGGCGUCGAAGCCAUGCCUGCAUGGGCGGAAUUGUAAGCGAACCUGGUCAGACCGGAAGGAGCAGCCAUAAGUUUUGCAGCCCCGUGCUUUGCAGUUAACCUGGUGGAGCUUGGCUUUUCAAAAUGCAGGAAUAGGCAUUUUAUGCUACCUUG